ensembl:lncRNA
AAAUAUGAACAUAAUAAAUUACCAGUGCAAAACUGUCAUAAAAAAUAAAAGUAAUAAAGGACAAAAUAUAUAAUUCAUUUUCUCUAUGCAAUUUAUCAUUUCUAUUUUUUUCUUAAUUUGGAUGUUAGUUGUGACUCAGACAGGUUUAGUGAGAUUCCCCCACAUAUAAGCUUGAAAUAAUCCACAGGUAUCAGGAUUUACUGGCAGUGUGCAGUACGGUAUUGUGUUAAACGACCAAAGGGUAUGUCUUGCCAGUAUAAAACACCUUGUUUUACAGUUAGUAGCUAAAUAAUGUGUUUGCACAAUUCUAUGGGUACAGGUCAGCCUGUUCUGUUACGAAGACUUGAUUAUAAACAGUGUUAUAUUUUUUGUACAUUUUAUUGUAACAUGCUUUUUUGUAGAGAAAGACUUUGAGGAGAGUUUUUGCUUUUUAAACGUUUGACUUUGACCACUUCCCUGGAAACACAACUCAACCGGACAUUCCUUGCUUCUGGAACCUUGUCAGAAAACCUUUACAUUUUCUCUUCCAAAGGUAACAAAGCACAAAGCCUAUGGCAGUCCUUAGCUUUAAAAAAAUAAAAAUAAAUAAUAAAUAAAUAGUACAGUUAAUUGCUUUUAUUCACUUCCCCUCACAUUUUAAGCUCUAUUCUUAAUAUAUUGUCGCCACACAGAUGCCAAAGGUUUUCUGUUCCCCAUACAACUCUUAUCCCAAACAGAGCAAUGUUGUAUGAUCUUUUCAGGUUUAAUCAGAUGAACUGGUUUUGUUUAGUCAGCUGGCUGUUAUGAUCUGAUUUUUCUGACAGUGCCAGCGGAAGGUGAAUCUAAUAACCUGAGCAUCUGUCAGGCAGCCAGGAUCAUAUUGGAUUACAUCAAAACCAAUCCUGACAUCUUUCCUAUCGCACAGGUCCCAUCACAUAGAAUAACUGCAAUAGAGCCAAAUUAUUCCUGUACAUUGAAAGUCAUACAUAAGUCAUUUAUGACACGUUUACUUAAAAUUGACAUCAUAAACUAUGUGACUGCUUAGAGCUGAUUUUUGCUUUUUUGAACUAUUUAUGUAUGCCAUAAGAUUGUUCACCUGUUGUCGCUAUUUUUCUGGAACUUCUGCAGACCUUUGAUAAAAUGUGAAUGUGAAUGAAGAGGAAAAUCUCUCAUUUGGCUCUUGACUGUGUUAUUGUGGUCAGACUAGUAAUUUUGCAUAGGGAUGUUGUAUAUGUGAGCUAGUGCGUCAGUGCUAGACUGCCACUGGAAAAAAAUAGUCUUAUGCAAUCACAAAGGAACAAACAAUUGAUUUUGCCUACUUCAGAUGACAGAGUCUGGCUAUUUUAAGGUUUAUGUUAAAGACAUGCACAUUAAUACAGAAGAAAACCUGAAUGUUUUUGGAAUUUUGCGAUUCCAUUAUCCUCACAAACCCACAAUCUCUCAGAUGGACAGUUAGUUACAAGCUGCUGGUAAACAACUCAGAUACUCAAAUGUCUUUUCUGCUCUCGCUAAUCACAUUUAUAUGGACAAUUGUAAAUCUCUGUGUACAUUAUUUCACACUUCUGUAGCUUAUUGUAAAUGUGGGUCAGUUUGCAUUGUGGAGAGCAGAACCCUGUCAAUGGGUGUUUGUAUGCUCAGGACCGGCUAAUCUCUGAUGUACUUGAGACACAACCACUUGUGCAAUUAAAGUGAU